GUGUCACCAACCUCUGUAUCUUAGGAGCCUUGCUCACCUCCUUACCUGUAUGUAUCAAAAAUUACCAUUACACCCUCCAAUCAAUGAUUCAUUCUACUAUAUACCCUUUUGCAAGAGACAUAAAAAUCAAAGGCUUACCAGCUUUGUUUGUGAAGGUUCUGCGAUAGGUGUUGACAUACUUCCUGACAUCAUCUUCUUUUGAGAGAUUGAAAAGCUUGCGGAUCUUUGAUGCUCUUUUGGGUCCCCUCAUCCUUGGCUUCUCAACAUCGGUCAGUCCGGGCAGGUCAUUGUCACCCUUCUUCACAAUCACCAAAUUCAAGACAGACAGAUCUUGGCUCACAAUGCACCCUCGCACAGACUUCCUCCUGCGUUCACCAUUACGCCUUCCAUACCCCCUGAAGCAAGGAGUACCUAGAUAGGGGCAAAAAAGUCAUUUACUUAAUAUCAAAGCAAAUUGAUUAAAGUAUAUAAAGUUAAAGACUUUAACACAAACCAACCUCGGACAAGUAAAAGACGAACACGCCCUGGAGUCAGCACUCCUUGCUUCAUUGGGAAACCUUGUUUGUCACAUCCUCCCAUGAUCUUGAAAACGUAUCCCUUAAACUCCUGUUCAUCAAAAGAGUAUAGAAGUUGAAUAUCUAGUUAUUGGUUUAAUCAGAUUUUAGUAAUACAAAGUAUAGAUGGAUAUACCUCUCCAAGUGCAUCUCCAUUGACUUCCUGGGAGAUCCUCUUGUCAUAAAAAGCACGACUGUAAAAAUUUUGUUAAAGCAAUAAGUGUUAAUCAUCUCAAUGAUCAAAAGACAAUAACUUUCAAAGUAUAAAAAGAAUGAAUGCAAGAAACUUAACACUCUAAUCAAGUUUUUUUUUGAAAGAACAAAAGGCAUAAAAACGUCCAGCUUUAUCAAAUACAUGUAGUGGAAACAAAACAGAAAUAACAGCUAGGAUUCCAAAUCAAUGCUCAAAACCAGACAUCAAUAAGAACUGUAAAAAAUGAAAUAUCAAUGCACACAAAAGAUAGCCAACUGCAAUUCCUAUUUCUUUUGGAUAAAGAGAGCAUGUGUUUAACAUGAUCAGGGUAAAUCAUCAAAAAAUGAGAUAUUGUUCGAUGUAGAGAAGGGAUUUCAUUUUUUAGAUUGAAGGAUCACUAGACAUGUUCUCAAAAUCUAUUUGCACGCUAAACAAGGAAUCUGUCAUUUCUACAGCUAGAAGCAGAGAUUAACGAGUACAACUAUCUACAGCAAGAAUAAGACAACUGGGUUAACAUUCAACAGGAUUGCUACGAAUAAAACAGAACUACUGGAGUCAAUGCCAGCAAUUCUCUAGAAAUAAGUUCAAAUAUCAAUUUGUGAAGUUGUAGUGAGUCUAAAAAACAAAUAACAAAUAAGAAAAGAGCUUACAGCUUUUGGUCAUCGUCAAUUUCGAGUUUCUUCUGGCAUCCAGUAGUUGGAUUUGCAAUAUUGAACUAAAAAAAUCAUCACAAGUACAGUCACAAAACUACGCAUAUAUAAUUAUGGAUGUGAUGAAAUCAGGUUUGAAGAGAUGGUACCUUCAUCUUCGGACAAGGAGGAGGAGGCCGCCGCGAAGAUGAUUUGGAAACAACGUUUCUUCGUUUCUUGAUGAAUUAGGGUUUUUGAACGUUGUUUAAAGCGUUUUUAUAUCCGGUGUAUAAUUUGCUUGAUUGGGUUAUUGGGCUUUUCUGCACAUGGAUCAAGUCAUCAAACAUUCAAACUGAGUUACUGAGAUACGAGUAAUCUCUAGAUUUUUUUUUUCAAUAUGAUUUACUAUUUAACUUUAUUAUAUUUUGAAUGUGUUCGACGAACUGGGUGGUUAGUUUGUAGUUUUUAUCGUUAGGUUAAACGCUACAUGAGUAGCUUUUGGAUUUGGAGCGUUUUUUUUAAGUAAACUAUAAAAGUUUGUAGUGUCAAAUAAUAUUUUCUGUUCAAAACGGAACAUUUUAUCAAACUCUAGAAGCUAGAAUCUCUCAAACGCUUUAUACCGAACACGCUAUUUAUUAUAAGUAAAAUAGAAAGAAAAAUACAUCAUCAAAUACAAAAGGCGAAAAUAUAGAAAUAAACUAAGUUUUUACGUCUUUGUUUUAUUUGUUUAGAUUUGGACUUUAUUAGGUCAUGGUAGUCUUUAUCUUACUCAGUAGAUAGAGGUGAAGUCCUUGAUUUUUAGAUCGUUGUCGUUUUCGUCUUGCUUAAUGAGUGGAGGUGACAGAUUCUGCUUCAAGUGAAAUGAUGAUAUAUCGCUUCAUGUUAUCCGAUUAAUCCUUCAAACAAAUAUGUAAUUCCUUUGAUCGAAGAGGGGGUUGUUCUCUAGAGAUAUAUUAUUUUACCACUAAAGGAAAAAAUAGAUUUUAAAAUUAUUGGAGAAAUCCCGACGGUUAGUAAAUCACACACAAUGUCAAUAGUAUUAGAAAUAUUGGUUUAUUUUAUUUCCACCCAGACAAAAUAUCUAGAUUUCUUUUUAAACUCUUUAUUGGUCCAGUUUCGCUAUUAGGAAUACAAGUUUAUGCUCUUUUAGUCUUUUACCAACUUCAUUUCAUAAAUAAUCAAAAAGUUGCAUAUUAUAAUUGUUGGCUUUAUAUACCAUAAACCUCACCGAAUUUUGCAUGUGGGAACAUAAUGGGAAACUUAAUUUCUUGAGAGUGAUUAUGGUAACUCUAAUCCGGAUUAAUAUUACUUGUUUCCAAAGCAACCAAUGACGGCCCAAACCUAAUGAAACCCUAAUCUUGUUUAAUAUAUAAACGACUCUUUUUAUACAGAAGAGGGGGACAUUCUUUAGCUCUUGUUUUUCAUCACACAUUCACAGAACCCUUUAGCAUAUUGGCUUACGUUUUUUGUGCCUAGAAACGUAAGUGUCCACUUAGAUUAUUCUAGACCGAAUUUCUUGUAACCCAGACAUAUGGUAGAAAUAUCAGUUCGGAAAGUGAUAUCACGAUCCAAGUUGGUAUCCAGAUCUCCAUCACAAGCCCUAAAUUUCCCAACAAACACAUUCUUUAAAAUCUAUGAAGUGUGAAUCCUUCCUUCGCUUUUAUUAAUUUCAUUCAUUCUGCUUCUCCGUCGCUAUCAUCCACAUCUCUCAUUACUUGAUCCUCAUCCGCACUAUCAUCAUCUACAUAUGUUUGAGAGCUCACUACCUCUCCUGUCAAGUUCUUAUGUUUCAAGUUGUCUAUCAAAAUAUGAUUCUAUUGUUUUAGCCAUUCAACUAUUAUAUCAUUAUAAUGAUAAUAAAAAAACAGAAUUUGCAUCCACUUGAUGAAGAAUGAAGAAUAGCCUUACCAAUAAUAACAUGAAAUAACAAACGUUCCAAAGAUCUAUUGGUUGCAUGAAUUUUACCAGUGAUACUUGUUUGUUUAAAACCCUUCAAUAUCUAAACAUAGAUAUAAGCAAAAUAUCUAAGUAAAUGUCCAUGAUUAGACCAAACGUAGUGAAGGCACCGCUUGGCGUAUGUGACAUACACCAUCGAUGAUGGCAUGCCAAGUUGAUAAGCUCCAAACCAUUUUUUUUCCAAAUGUUGUAGCUUUCUUUUUUAUUUUAAUAAAAGACAAAACUGCGAGAUUGGUCCUUAUGGUAUUCAAAAAACUUUGGAUGGGGUCCAAAAACUUUAUGACUUGCAUAGAAGGUCCAAAAUCAAGAUUUUUCCGUAUUUUUGGUCCAAAAAAACUUGAAAAGACGGUUAUGCCAUUUUACUUUCUUUUUUGUAUUUUUUAUAAAUUUUCAAAUACUAAUUUAAUUUAAAAAUAAAAAAGAAAAGAAAGCAAUUAUCCCCCAACAACCUCUCUCUCUCUCUCUCUCUCUCUCUCUCUCUCUCUCUCUCUCNCUCUCUCUCGUUUUAAUUCCCAGAACACAAUCCGUCACUAUCAUCUUCUUCACAACCCAACUCCACCCUUCUUCCUUUCUUACGCGUCGGUCCUCUCCAUCAUCUAGUCGAGCACUAUGCUCACAUAUUAGAUGGAAGAAAAGGAAACCCAUCAAUCAACACAACAACCAUCAUUGUCAAAAAAAAAUAACCCAAACACCUUUGUCGAGCUCCACCAUCCACGAGAGCAGAGUGCCGAAAAAAAUAGAUCAGUGGUCUAACUGCUACCAAGAUCUUCGUCCUUAGGUACACUGAAAAAUCCAAGUUUUAAGCCCCGUUUUUGUGUUGUGGUUUUCAUCUUAAAGGUUAAUCUCCAUAUUCAUAUUGACUGUACUUUUUUACUUUGGGGGUUAGCAAAAUCGACGUCACCGCCAUCUAAUUCUCGUACUCCUCCGUUACAACCACCAGCAAUCACCACCGCUGCAACCAACAGCGGCCACCAUCGCUGCAAUCUCAUAUGGGUUUUCUAACCUGCAAUAUAACCCAUAUAUGAUGGGUAGAAAUCAGAAGUAUAGAAUUAACCCUCACCGGUGACUUACCUAAUAAAAUUUGGGGGUUAAAGAGUCUUGAAGUGAUUGACAUUAAAGGGAAUUUGGUUACUGGAGGCUUAUCCAUGAUCGAUUUCUCCAAUUUAAAGAAGUUACAGGUUCUUUGAUUGGAACCCUAAGAUUCUUCUGACAAACAGUUUUUGGAUUUUGACUUGGGUAAGAUAAUAGAGUAGUGUGUUGUUAAAGGGGAAAGGGGGUUUCAUUGUAUGUUUAUGGGACCGAUGGUGGGGUUCAAUCAGCAGGAGGCUGAACAAAGUGAGGGGUAUGCCGAUGGAGUUGUGGAAGAUUCUUAACGAUGAAUAUGAAUGAAUCUGGGUUAGGUUAGGAGAGAGAGAGAGAGAGAGAUGGGAGGUGGGUGGACCCGUCCUUCUAUUUUUCUUUUCUUUUGCUUUUUUUGUUAAUUAUAAAACAAUUAAAACAAAUAAAAAAAAUGUGAAAAUUAAAUAAUAAGGGCAAAAUAGUCCUUUCAAAUUUGCAAGGACCAAAACCAAAGAAAAUUCUUGAUUUUGGACCUUCCAUGUAAGUUGAAAACUUUUUGGACCCCAUCCAAAGUUUUUUGUAAACCACAAGGACCAAUUUGGCAGUUUUGUCUUAAUAAAAUGAUUGUUUUUUUUUUCAAAUGUAUUAAAUUAAAAAAAAAAACAUAAAUAAAUAAAAUCUUGACCCGCUUCCUGAAAAUGACAUGUCAUUCAUGUUGUGUUGAAAAGAUGACAUGACCAGUGAGAUAGAUGUCAAAAAGUUUAUGUGGCGACUUAACAUGUCAUGUGCCACUCCGUCAAACAUUAUAAUAAAGAAAAAAACUAUAGCUUUGCUUCCGAACAUAACGUUUGUAUUGUUCUUGUCACUUAAACUAAAAAAUCCACAUUAAAACUUCUAGUUUAAUUCAAACCAAUUAAUUGGUUUAGUAAAAACUAAAAGUGAAAAAUUGCCUUACAAGUUGAAAAAUAACUUGAUUAUGGCCCUCAAAAGUGGGUUUCUAAGAACUCAAAAACUACACAAGCCUCCUCAAAUAUCAAUUUAAUUCAAGAUUAAUAACUAAAGAACAUUUUAUCUUUGCAUUUAAUAUAACAAAUUUCAUAAUAUUCAUCUCAUCAACUUUAAGUCAUCAACUUUAAGUGAGAGGAGUUGGGAGGAAAAAGGAACAAAAGCAAAUAGCUAAAAGGGUUAGCUCCUUAAUACACACAAUUAAACCAUGUUUUAUGAAAUAGUCAUGUAUGUCUAUCUAGAUUAAACUCAUCAAGUCAAAAAGAAACAGCCGCUUAGGGCGUUACACAUAUCUUUUACGAACGAAUCAACAAAGUUUGAUCCACUAUUUUGAGAACAUCAACAUACAUUAAAUUUUUUUACAUCAAAAGGGGACUUAGACAAGUUUUCUAAGAUGAUAAUGAAAUUUAUGCAUUUUGCACACGCGAAGCGUUGAAUGACUUUUUAGGGUGAAACACAAAAUUGUAAUUUUCGUCUUAUUGAUAUCAGUCUCGGUUCUAGCUUCAAUGAAUGUCAAACACAAUACAACAUGUUCUUUCAUAUCAUGUCAUGUUAUUUCAUGUUAGUACCUUUUCACGAGUCCUGCAAAUGAUUAACAAUGAUACAACUACAUUUACGGAUUGAUAAAGUUUAUGCAUAAUUAGUUGCACGUCAUUUGGUGAGGGGUAGCUAUUAAUUUAUUUAUAUGAACAACUUCUUUAAUCUAAUGUAAUAAAAAGUUGCAUUGAUAAUCAUCGUAACUUGUUACUUAUGAUUUUCUUUUUUUGAUAAAAAAAAAGGAUGAAUUAUUACUGGCUUCUCAAGUAUAACGAAGUUUUAUUCAUGCUGCAAAUAAAACAAAUUUCUGUUAGUAACUAGUAUUAUUUACAUAUUAAUUUGCAAUGUUGAUCGCCCCUUAGACGAUCUCCAUUCACAACCAAAUCCAACUCAACUAUCUAUUAAAAUAUUAAUUUCCUUUUCUUCCAUCUAUACAAUCAGCUAACCUUAAAUUUUUACAACCAUUAACAACUUUAUCCAACCAAACCCAAUCUAACAUUUGAUAUAAAAAAGAUAUAAAAAAUUAUCAAAAAAAUAUAUCAAUGGUGAUAUCAUUUUGUAGAUAAUUGUUUUCUACAUAUUUUAGUAUAUUUUAUUUAUUUAUUUUACAAAUAUAUCAUUUAAUUAUUGAUAAAGUAAAUAUAUUAAAAAACUAAAUUAAAAGAAAAACUGAGAAAUAGACAAGUGGUAGAGAGAGAAGUGCCAACCAACCAGUGUUUUAGUCACCAAUGAGAGUAGUCUUACAAGGUUACCGUUCAUUUGGUUUUACUAUUUCCAAACCAAAAAUUGAUAAAUUCAUAUCACACUACCAUCUUUACAGAAUAUAAUACAAGAUGCAAAAUAACCAUUUAUCUGGAAAUAGCGAUUUUAUGCCAAACAGAAAAUGUUGAGGAGCAUAGAGUUGUAAAACCAUGGCUUGUUUCCUCAACUGUAAAAGAUACCUAACACCAAAUAAACAACUUUUGUAAUCUUAGAAGAAAAUAUUGAUCAAUUUUUAAUAUAUAAUUUUGUAGAUUACUAGUGCUAUACUCACCAUAGGCAAAAUACAACAUGCAAGUUCAUCAAGUGUUUGUGAAGUGGACUCACAUUUCCAAGUAAACAUGAACAGUCUUCUGCCCCAUGUGAAAACCAUUCAGCCUUAACUAAACUAUAAUAACAAAUUAAACCUGAUGAGAUUAUUGAUUAAAAUAUAGAGAUUUACUUUUCCUUUCCAAUCAUUUUCAACAUCUUUAUGCCAAUCAUGACACGAUAGUAUUUCAGCAGAAGAGCUGAGUUUUUUGCACACAGUGGCUUAUGAGUUCCCGAAUGUUAACCAGUUUAUGUCUGGACAUGUCAGCAUCUAACAAAAAGAAGAGAAAUACAGAAAUGCAAUAGGAGGGAGGAGGGUAGUGGGUACCUAACCUUGCUAAAGCAAUGAAGUGUCUCUUUGACUACUAAUUAAACUUGAAACAAAAGGUAUUUCUGGAUUAACAGCCAUGGAAUCAUUAAGAGUUGCUUUGUUAAGUAUUGUAUCAGUCAUCAUGACAAAAAAAAAAAAACAAUUGGUACAAAAGGAUAUUAUAACAUUAAAAUGUAAUGUAAACAACCAUAUCUUAAAAUCAUAAAGAGUUGAAUAAGAUCAAAAAGACAACAAAACUAAUGUCUGAACCACUAUCACAAAAACCAAUCAAGAUUCAACACCCAUAAACAUAAGUUCAAAAAACCCUAAGCAACAAUGGAAGGCUUAGAAGCAGAUGAAAGCCUGGACCUCUUUUUAGCAAGACUCUCACUUCGCUUUUCCCUUUGCUCCUUGAGCCUGCUUGCAAGAAGCUUCUGGUAAUCUGCAGCCUCUGAUUUGGCCUUUGCAAUCCUCUUCUUCUUGUCAGCAAUUCUCGCCCUCUUCCUUUGAAGUGUAAGUGGUGUCACCAACCUCUGUAUCUUAGGAGCCUUGCUCACCUCCUUACCUGUAUGUAUCAAAAAUUACCAUUACACCCUCCAAUCAAUGAUUCAUUCUACUAUAUACCCUUUUGCAAGAGACAUAAAAAUCAAAGGCUUACCAGCUUUGUUUGUGAAGGUUCUGCGAUAGGUGUUGACAUACUUCCUGACAUCAUCUUCUUUUGAGAGAUUGAAAAGCUUGCGGAUCUUUGAUGCUCUUUUGGGUCCCCUCAUCCUUGGCUUCUCAACAUCGGUCAGUCCGGGCAGGUCAUUGUCACCCUUCUUCACAAUCACCAAAUUCAAGACAGACAGAUCUUGGCUCACAAUGCACCCUCGCACAGACUUCCUCCUGCGUUCACCAUUACGCCUUCCAUACCCCCUGAAGCAAGGAGUACCUAGAUAGGGGCAAAAAAGUCAUUUACUUAAUAUCAAAGCAAAUUGAUUAAAGUAUAUAAAGUUAAAGACUUUAACACAAACCAACCUCGGACAAGUAAAAGACGAACACGCCCUGGAGUCAGCACUCCUUGCUUCAUUGGGAAACCUUGUUUGUCACAUCCUCCCAUGAUCUUGAAAACGUAUCCCUUAAACUCCUGUUCAUCAAAAGAGUAUAGAAGUUGAAUAUCUAGUUAUUGGUUUAAUCAGAUUUUAGUAAUACAAAGUAUAGAUGGAUAUACCUCUCCAAGUGCAUCUCCAUUGACUUCCUGGGAGAUCCUCUUGUCAUAAAAAGCACGACUGUAAAAAUUUUGUUAAAGCAAUAAGUGUUAAUCAUCUCAAUGAUCAAAAGACAAUAACUUUCAAAGUAUAAAAAGAAUGAAUGCAAGAAACUUAACACUCUAAUCAAGUUUUUUUUUGAAAGAACAAAAGGCAUAAAAACGUCCAGCUUUAUCAAAUACAUGUAGUGGAAACAAAACAGAAAUAACAGCUAGGAUUCCAAAUCAAUGCUCAAAACCAGACAUCAAUAAGAACUGUAAAAAAUGAAAUAUCAAUGCACACAAAAGAUAGCCAACUGCAAUUCCUAUUUCUUUUGGAUAAAGAGAGCAUGUGUUUAACAUGAUCAGGGUAAAUCAUCAAAAAAUGAGAUAUUGUUCGAUGUAGAGAAGGGAUUUCAUUUUUUAGAUUGAAGGAUCACUAGACAUGUUCUCAAAAUCUAUUUGCACGCUAAACAAGGAAUCUGUCAUUUCUACAGCUAGAAGCAGAGAUUAACGAGUACAACUAUCUACAGCAAGAAUAAGACAACUGGGUUAACAUUCAACAGGAUUGCUACGAAUAAAACAGAACUACUGGAGUCAAUGCCAGCAAUUCUCUAUCAAAUAUCAAUUUGUGAAGUUGUACGAGUCUAAAAAACAAGUAACAAAUAAGAAAAGAGCUUACAGCUUUUGGUCAUCGUCAAUUUCGAGUUUCUUCUGGCAUCCAGUAGUUGGAUUUGCAAUGUUGAACUAAAAAAAUCAUCACAAGUACAGUCACAAAACUACGCAUAUAUAAUUAUGGAUGUGAUGAAAUCAGGUUUGAAGACAUGGUACCUUCAUCUUCGGACAAGGAGGAGGAAGCCGCCGCGAAGAUGAUUUGGAAACAACGUUUCUUGGUUUCUUGAUGAAUUAGGGUUUUUGAACGUUGUUUAAAGCGUUUUUAUAUCCGGUGUAUAAUUUGCUUGAUUGGGUUAUUGGGCUUUUCUGCACAUGGAUCAAGUCAUCAAACAUUCAACGAUUUUUUUUUUUCAAAUUGAUUACUAUUAUACUAUAUUAGCUAUAAAAUCCAUGUAUUAUAUGAGUUUAUUUAAAAGAAAAAUUAUAUAUAAAGUUCUAAACAUUUAAAAGUUUGAAUUUAUAAGAAAAUUAGAAAAUAUUUAAUUAUUAAAAUUAAUGUGUUUUUUUUUUUAAAUUUAAACAAAUAAUUUACAUAAAUAAACAAAGGAAACUAAUUAAGUUUAAUUUAUAAAUUUAAAAUUAAAAGGAAAGUCAAUUAAUGAAAUUGAUAUGCAUUUAUUAUAAUUAUUACAUUUAAUUAUUAUGUAGAAUUUGAUAAAAUAAAAAAAACCACAAAAUGCCAUGUGGAAAAAAUUUAAUUGAAAAUAACCACAAAAUGUCAUGGCCAAAUCAAUAAGAGUAUGACAUGUGGCAGAAAAUGUGUUUUAUUUACUAGGUGUGAAACCCGUGUAUUACACGGGUUGAUUAAAAAAGUUAAAUAUAAGGUGUAGACAUUAAGUAUUUUCUAAAAUAAAAUUUUGAAAUAAAUAUAAAUGAAAUGAUCAAUAAGUAAUUCAAUUUAUAUUAAUAAAAAAAUAUUAUCAUGUUUUAAAUAAUCAUGCUGAAUAUGAAUGUAUAAAAAGUUAAGUAUUUUUUAAAGUAAACCACAAGGACCAUUUAUGUAAUUUGUCUAAAUUAAUCUAUACUAAUAAAACUAAUUAAUAUAAAUUCAUAAAUAGAAUUCAUUAAUAUAUUAAUAGAAAUAAUAAUUCACAAAUGGAAGGUUUACUAUGUACAUUAAUUCACAUUAAUUACUAUGAGAUGUCAUUUAAUAUGUGGAAAUUUAAUAUUAAUGAAAAAGAAAAUACAAAAAUGACAAGUGGAAAAAAUAUAAUUUUAAAAUUCUAAGAAAAUGACAUGUGUCAAAUUCAAUAAGAAGUUGACAUUUGGCAAAAUUAUCUUUAUUUAUUCGGAUAGAUUAGUAUAGAUAUUAAAAUUCUCCAUUCUUAGCUACAGUAAAGUGGCUAAGGGAUGACAAAAAUGGUCCUUUAAGUAUUCAUUUUGUUGCAGUUUGGGAUUUGUACUGAGGGAAUGACAAAAAUGAUCCUUUAACUAUACCUUUUGUUGCAGUAAUGUUCCUUACCAUUUUGUCAUAAUUCACCCAUUUCUUUUUAGGAAAUACAGGCUACGGCUACAGUACCUGACUCCAGG
rnacentral:lncRNA from 1 species